rnacentral:rRNA from 1 species
GCGAUUAUACCAACAGUAAUGCACCGGAUCCCAUCAGAACUCCGAAGUUAGCGUGCUUGGGCAAGAGCAGUACUAGGAUGGGUGACCCCCAGGGAAGUCCUCGUGUUGCACCU